CCCAGCCCUCGUUCCCAUUCCCAUUCCAGCGGCGGCGGCGACGGCGACGGCGACGACGACGACGAAGGAGCGGCUACGCCAUCGAUGGCUCGUGCGACUCCCACGCCUAAGGCUAUUGAAAUCCUGCGCUAACUUUUUUUCACUUGUACUUUUUUUUUUUACUUCAAUGCCUGCAAAAAUUUACUGGUAGCUAAGCUGGUAACUGAAGGGAUUUACUCCUAGGUAAGAUUUCGUUUUCUGUUCUUGAUCCAUUGACCGCCUAGCAAUUCACUUUGAUGGCAAUAAAACAAUCACAUAUUAGUUUCAGCAAAACUGUUUUGGAAAUUGGAAUUCCUAACAGGGGCUUUACUCUUCAGUUCCAUAGUCUUUCACAUCCUGCUUUGAUGUUGUCUCCUAUAGUUGAUAGGAAGAACUUUCAAUUUCCUUGAUUCCAAUUUUUUUGUUUCAACAUAGGAGAAUUGUUUUUUUGGAUCCGGAACACCGGCCCGAUUUUAUUAAGAGGAUAGGCAAGCAUUACAGAACUAUUACAAAAUGGCUAUCACUAGCAAGAAAAUCUUGAGUGCGUAGACCAAUUGUUGUCUCAUUCUUCAGUUCCAAAUGUUGAAGAGUAGACCAAUUAAAAUCUAGUUGGGUGAGAUUCGCUAAAAGAGACUACAAUUUGACUAUAGCGCCGUCCAAAUCCUAGGCGGCAGGGGCGACCACCUCCCCACCCCGCCGCCGCCCCUCUCCACCCUCUCCUCCCGCCUCGCCGCUGCCUGAGUGGCCACCGGCAAGCCGGCUGGCCGCAAUGACGGCGGCGGCGGGGCUCUCACCGGGGCCGGAGGGGCGCGCGGCGGCGCACCGCGGCGCUCGGUGGCGCGCAGCGACGCGAGGAGGCCCUCGGCGGGGGCAGCAGGGUGAGGAGGAGCUCUGCGGUGAGCAGCGGCACGAGGAGGCCCUCGGCGGCAGGAAGCGGCGCGAGGAGGAGCUCGGCGCGCGCAGCAGCGCGAGGAGGCGCGGGGCAGCCCGCGACGGCACUCGGCGGCCCUCACCAGCGCGCAGCGGCGGGCGGAGGCGCUAGGGAGGCGGCGGAUCUGCAACCCCCAAGGCCGGAUCCAGCCAUCCCCGCCUAGAGCUGGCGCGGCGGCGGCGCGAGGCGGCUGGGCGGCGUGGGCACGAUGCGGCUGGGCGGCGUGACGCGAUGUGGCUAGGCUGCGAUGCGUGCGGCCAUGGUGGCAGCGAGCGGCGGCGUGGCGGCGGCGUCCCAGCCAUGGUGGCAGCCGGGCAAUGGGAGCGCCGGUGGGUGGCGCCGGAGGCAGAGCGGCAACGUUUUCGGCAUAGGCGCAGACCCAGAUGGAUGUGCUAAGGGAGUUGGCGGCAGUGGGUCAUCUUCCUCGUUGCCAGUCAGCACCCUCACUCUUCCUGGAGCUCCUCCCCUUCUCUACGGGGAGUUUCUAGGCUGGAUUGAGGCGGCAACUUGUCAGCGGGGGAAGCUCAGGCUGCUGAAGCAAUGCCAUCCAAUCCCGGGUUCUCCUUCGGCCAGAUCUGGCGAGGAGGCUGGCGGGUGGUGGAACGGAGGGGUCCUGGGCCAGCUCUCAGGGACGGUGGUUCGAUGAAGUCGACCGAUGGAGGGGCAUCGGUCGGGUGUGGUGGAAGCCAUGUGCCGCCGAUGUUCAGAUGGUGGUUUCAGACUGGGUGACGUACCACGGUGAUAGGGGGUUUCGAGCGAAAGCUUAGCCCAUUUCUUUGGGCUAACAGUGACUUCGCCUUCGGGCGUAGUAACCCUCCUGAGGGCACUGUUGAGGUAUCCCGUCUCCCUCGGCAAGGAGCUCUGGGUGAAAGUCCAGUCUUUGGAUGGAUGACGACGGCGCCUUUUAGCGUCGCGACCCUCAUGAGGGCGUCGUUUUAGAGUCUUCGUGUCGUAGUGGUGUCAUUAGCUCAGUGGUGGUCGGUCUCGCAAAGCGAUGGCUGGUUCGGUGCUUGGCUCUCCUCUCUGUAGUGUGUGUUUGGACGGUUGGCACAUGGUUCGGGGCGUGUGCUAUGGUGCACAUCCUUCCUCGACAGCAGGCUAUCGAUGUAAAACUUUUCUUGUAACCUUUUCUUCCAUCUUAAUUACAUUCAGUUCCAGAAAAAAAAAAGAAGAGUAGACCAAUUGUUAUUUCAUCAUUCAGUUCCAAAUGACACCAAAAGUCUUGAAGUAUGACUUAGUCAAGUCCAUGUAGCAAAUUUUUCCAGCUCCUUACAUCAAAUGAAAAUAACUAGUAGCUAUCUUAUGUAAUACGUUGACAAUAGCUAUUUCUAAAAUGAUUUGUUCUUACAGGAAGCAGAGUAAUAGAAAUCUUUGGUCUUAUUUUGCACCUAUAUGCAACUAAUGAGGUCUGAUUUUGACUCAACCUCAUAUUACUUGAAGUUGCCAAUUCGUUGGUCAUUCUCCUCCUUAAGCUUAUAUCUCUCUAUAUAUGUCUACUCCUCUCAUAUACUACAUGUCCUAGUACAGCUUCUAUGCAGAUAAAUCCAUAUCCACUUCACAGCUUCUCUUCUUGUCCCUUGGAAUACCAUAUUAGAUCAUUUGGCAAGGAUCAGGACACAACUUUACAGCUUGCUAGCUCAGGAUGGCUGAGAUUGUCAGAUCUGCCAUUGUUGGGGAGGCUGUUAGCAGAAUCUUUUCUGGUAUUAUCAGCAAGCAUGAGGACAACUCAGAUGAAGGAGACAACAUAGAGAGGCUGGAGAUGGCACACAUUAAGAUAGAGGCUGCAAUUGAGACUUCCAACAAGUGGCAGAUCACCGACAUGCCAUUGCUAUGUUGGCAAAAGAAGCUGAAGCGUGCGUCUCAAGAAUGUGAUGAUAUGUUGCACAGAUGCAAGCAACGCGCUAUAGAAGACAACGAAAUCGAAGACCAGGUGGAGCAGUCCUCAUUUCCUAGACGUGUUACUCAUGCAACCAAAUUAUUCAUCCUCUCAUUCAUUGGCCACAAUAAUGAUGAUUACUACUCAAGCAGUGCUGUUGUUCGAAGAUUUGAGAGGAUUGCGGAUAGUGCUGAUGAGUUUCUGAGGUUUGUGCAGCUAGGCGGAAGACCACGGCAAUAUCUGUUCUUCGACCCUCUUAUUGCCCAUCUUUUCGCAGGCAAAUUGCUCACGUAUCAAAUAUUGCAUGAUGGAAGUCAAUACCACUAUUUCUCUAUAUGUCCUAUGAGUUUUGAGGAGCGCGGACUGGAGGCCAUGCUGUCCUUUAUCUAUGAAGACUGCAAGGUGCCCAAGAACAGUUUUCGUCUAAGAAUCAUGCUGCGUCUUUCAGAAAGUACAGACAUCAUGGGGAUUACAGCCAAGUGUUUACAACUGGCCACACCUCAGUUCAAGUCCACUGCUGAGGUUGUUAUCAGGGAGCUCACUCUGCUCCCUACACAAGAUUUCUCAUGGUUGUCGCAAUAUGAAUGUGAAAGCCUGGAACACUGGAACAAUGUUCACAGCACUUUGACUCAACGGUUCCGGCCAGAUCCAUUGUGUUGCUAUAGAGGAUACAUUCCUGCUUGUAGCAGCAACAGCACAAGAAUUAGUAGUUUGUCAAGCAUAUUUCCAGAACCAGUCUCUGACAUGUUUCUACAAUGUCACAUCUCACUAUCGGAAUAUAACAACAUGCAGGGAUCUCCAACCACCAGAGAUGAUACAUCUUCACUUGAUAAUUUCCCUCUCUUGAAGAUUGGGAUUCUCUUCACGCCACAUGACUCUGUGGAAGACCUCAAGCUUGUUAAUGCAAACAAGAGCUAUGUUGUAGAGACGAUUGAUGGAGGCAAUCAACUGACUAUGGAUGUAGAUGUUACUCAGCAUCGCCGACUGGAAGAGAUGCUUCCCAAGGCGAUCGACUAUCUUUACCAAAAUGCUGAGGCAAGCACGUACCAGGUGUCCUGGAAAUCCAAACAUGGCAGUGCACACUUUGGUGUGGUGAAGACAAGUAUGGCGCCGAUGCUGCCAGGAGCACGUCGAACCACGCGGCGGCAAGGUAGGAGGAACAAGAUUGAGGCGCAGAUGAUAAAGAACGGGCAGUGGAAAGAGGCAUUGAGAGAUUACCUCAAACUCUUAGCCAUGCGUUCAUCUGAUGAUUUGCAGUGUUGGUUCAUGGCAUGGCUCAAUCAUCGAAACUAAGUUUACUUGAUUUACUAUUUCUCAACCACACUAUCUGUAUUUAUUGUUGUGUGACUGCAUAUAACAUAUGUAUGUGUCCAAUGUAGCAUGCAUAUAUUUGCUACAGAUAGUAAACUGUCUGCACCAACUGGCCGGCUUCCACUGAGGUGAUAUGGAGUUUUUCAGUGUGUUCCUUCCUCUGAAAGUAGCAUAUGUUAGCUCUUGUUGAUUCAGUCUUCAACCAAAAAUCAACUACUGUAUGCUCGUGCAACAUUUUAUUCCCAAGCAACAUCGUGAGUGGGGCAAGAUCGAUAUUGAGAGAAGAAAAUUCGGUUGUGAAAGAAUGUGGAGCUCCGAGGUAUGGUAAGAAGAGAAGAAAGAGAUAUUGAGAGAAGAGAAAAAAAAUAUUAUUUGACACAUUGGAGAGGGAAAAGUGCAAAAGAGACACCAGAAUAUUUUCGGGAAGAUGCGACAGUGAAGGCCGGAGGUGCGCGGCGAGGGUGAAGUGGUGCCAACUCCAUAUCUGACUAACAGCAACGGCGCAUUAUUCUUCUUGGAGGUGUCGUUAUGAUGUUUUUCCCCCUCCGCCACCACUUUUCUCUGCGUAAAAACCUUGAACAAGACCGGUUCUAUAAUUUCAAGGGUCUUAGGCUAACUCGGUGCCAUAUCCCUUUUAGAUCAAAUAUUUUUCUUGCAAUACAUACUAUAUAACCAUUUAUCCUCUAAACUAACAUUAAUAAGCAUCAUUAGCUAAUAUGAUGCACCAUAAAUAUAAUUGCCAAUUCUC